GGGGAAUAUUGCACAAUGGGGGAAACCCGUGAUGCAGCGACGCCGCGUGAGUGAAGAAGUAUUUCGGUAUGUAAAGCUCUAUCAGCAGGGAAGAAAACGACGGUACCUGACUAAGAAGCCCCGGCUAACUACGUGCCAGCAGCCGCGGUAAUACGUAGGGGGCAAGCGUUAUCCGGAUUUACUGGGUGUAAAGGGAGCGUAGACGGUAAAGCAAGUCUGAAGUGAAAGCCCGCGGCUCAACUGCGGGACUGCUUUGGAAACUGUUUAACUGGAGUGCUGGAGAGGUAAGCGGAAUUCCUAGUGUAGCGGUGAAAUGCGUAGAUAUUAGGAGGACACC
rnacentral:rRNA from 1 species